CGGACGGGUGAGUAAUGUCUGGGAAACUGCCCGAUGGAGGGGGAUAACUACUGGAAACGGUAGCUAAUACCGCAUAACGUCGCAAGACCAAGAGGGGACCUUCGGGCCUCUUGCCAUCGGAUGUGCCCAGAUGGGAUUAGCUAGUAGGUGGGGUAACGGCUCACCUAGGCGACGAUCCCUAGCUGGUCUGAGAGGAUGAUCAGCCACACUGGGACUGAGACACGGCCCAG
rnacentral:rRNA from 1 species